CCGCGUGUGGAAGUCUGUGAGGCGCAGAGGUGGGGCAGGCCGUCUGGCUAGCUAGGCGGCUGGGAGCGUUUUCGUGGCGGGGAACGGAGGUUGAAUUGCCCUGCCUGGGCUCAUAGGGAAGGAGGAUGUGAAGGAGCUUGUGAAGGCAGAGGAAGGCUGGAGUGCAGUGGCACAACCUUGGCUCGCUCCAGUGUCUACCUGCCAGGUUCAAGUGAUUCUCCUGCCUCAGCCUCCCGAGUAGCUGGGAUUACAGAUUAUUGAAUAAUAAAAUACAGUUUUGAAAAAAAUGGAUGAAGAACCUGAAAGAACUAAGCGAUGGGAAGGAGGCUAUGAAAGAACAUGGGAGAUUCUUAAAGAAGAUGAAUCUGGAUCACUUAAAGCUACAAUAGAAGACAUUCUAUUCAAGGCAAAGAGAAAAAGUAUUUGAGCACCAUGGACAAGUUCGACUUGGAAUGAUGCGCCACCUUUAUGUGGUAGUAGAUGGAUCAAGAACAAUGGAAGACCAAGAUUUAAAGCCUAAUAGACUGACGUGUACUUUAAAGUUGUUGGAAUACUUUGUAGAGGAAUAUUUUGAUCAAAAUCCUAUUAGUCAGAUUGGAAUAAUUGUAACUAAGAGUAAAAGAGCUGAAAAAUUGACUGAACUUUCAGGAAACCCAAGAAAACAUAUAACGUCUUUGAAGAAAGCUGUGGAUAUGACCUGCCAUGGAGAGCCAUCUCUUUAUAAUUCCCUAAGCAUGGCUAUGCAGACUCUAAAGUUAGUAUUAUACAUUAUGUAUAAUUGAAUUAGAAGUUUUUUAAAUGAGUUAAGUUGAAGUGAUGUGUUAAUAUGGGGCCCAUAAACCCAGCUAUAACAAAAUUGUUAAGUACGAGAAUUAUGUAGUGUUAUUUAUGAUGUUUAGUGUGGUGUUGGUUAGUAAUUUUUAUUUUACAUUUUAGUAAGAUAUUGUUAAAGGUUUUAUAAAAAUAUAAUUUAAAACUGUCGGCAGUAUCAAUAGUACAAAAAUAGGUUGAUGAAAAAAUAUUUUAUUAAAAUGAGAUUUAAUAUAGUAUAAUAA
rnacentral:lncRNA from 1 species